ensembl:lncRNA
CUUUACUUGUUAAAGGUUGCCGACCCCUGAUCUAGAAAUUCUGUACAUAAACAUCAUGAACAAAACAAGGGCAGCUCAACAUGUCCAACAUGCACUGGGAACAGGUCUGACUUACAGCCAGUAAUGAACACCGCUCUGGCUCCAGUCAUACAGGGAGCGGACAGCUCUUAGCAAAGAGCCCCAAACCCCAUACUCCCAGAGCACCUGCCCAAAGGACACCACGUCUUCUCCAGAUCCAUAAAGCUCAUGUGGGCUGGUUGAGCAAACUCCCAUGAAGCCUCAAGGACCCAAUGGAGAGUAUAGAGCUGGUCCAGUGUUCCGCGACCUGGACAAAAACCACACUGCUCCUCCAGAAUCCGAGGUUCGACUAUUGGUCAAAUUCUCAUCUCCAGUCCACUGGAAUAGACCUUACCGGGAAGGCUGAGGAGUGUGAUUCCCCUGUAAUUGGAACACACCCUUCUUAUACAGAGGGACCACCAUCCCGGUCUGCCAAUCUAGCGUUACUGUCCCCAACCGCCACUCAAUGUUGAGGUACUCAAAAAGUAUCUCCCGGGGGCCUUGCCCCCGAGGAGCUUGCCAACCACCUCAGUGACUUCAUCCACCUCCAGGUCCCCAGUCUCUGCUUCCUGCUCAGAAGACGUGAUGGUGAGAUUGAGGAGAUCUUCAAAGUAUUUCUUCCACCGCUGACAAUAUCCCCAGUCGAGGUCAGCAGCUCUCCACCCGCACUGUAAACAGUGUCGGUGAAGCACUCCUUCCUUCUGAGGCAUCGGACGGUUUGCCAGAAUCUUUUUGAGGCCAUCCGAUAGUCCUCCUCCAUGGCCUCUCCGAACUCCUCCCAACCCCGAGUUUUGCCUCUCCGACCGCAUGAGCCGUGGCACACUUGGCCUGCUGGUACUCGUCAGCUGCCCUAGGAGUCCAUAGGUCUCCUUCCUUCAGCAUCACUUACUUUUGGUGUCCACCACCGGGCUUGCCGCCAUGACAAGCAUCGCAGACCUUAGGACCACAGAUAUGAGCAGCCACAUCAACAAUAGGGGUGGAGAACACGGCCAACUCGGAGUCCAUUUUUCCCAAUCACACCCCUCCAGGUGUCUCUGUGGUUACCCACAUGGGCAUUGAAAUCCCAUAGGAGAAUAAUGGAGCCCCCGGUUGGUACACUGUCUAGUACCCCUCCCAGGGAUUCCAGCAAGGCCAGGUACUCUGUACUGCUGUUUGGCCUGUAGACCGACAUAACAGUGAGAGACCUGUCCUCGACCCAGAGGCACAGGGACACGACCCUGUAGUUCACUGAAGUGAACUCAAACACAUGGCGGCUGUAAUCGUGAAGGAAGAGAUUGAAGACCAGGUAGAGAGUUGAAUGAAGUUGUGUGUGUUUUGACAAUUCCUGGAAGCUAACUUCAUCCUGCUUCCCAGAAAUGGACUCUGUGCAAAGGAUGUUGUGAAAUGUUUUGUAGGCGAAUGUCAAGAUGACCCUUGUGAGAGGAACCAGAUGCCAGAUUGAGCUCAGAUCCCGUCUCACUUCCCUAAAUUUUGGCGUCACGACAUUCAGGAGGAAAGAGAGGCCGAUACAGGCGACACACGGCAGAAUCAGGAAAAGGGAGACGAGGAGGAGAAACCCAGGGUGAAAUCGGGGGAUCUCGUGUAUGUUAAGGUCUUUCGGAGGAAGUGGGAUGGUCCACGGAGGGAAGGACCUUACGAGGUUACCAGAGCUACAACGACAGCUGUCCAAGUGAAAGGGUCAGACACUUGGUACUGUUUAAAUCACUGUGUGAAUGUUCCUUCAGAUUUGAUAGACUCUGGUGAAGGGAAGGCUCAAGAUGGUGCUGGAUUCCAGGAAAAAGAAUUUCUGGAAAAGGGGGGAGGUGAUCUUGAUGGUUUUGAUUCUCCUGUUAACAGUGCAGAUUGCGACCAGGAGUGGAAAGGAGAGACGUAGACGCAAAAGGGCAACUGAAGCUGUAACUCCGAUAGAUUGGCCCACCAGCAAUAAUGGAUGUCCUCAGGAGAGCUGAAGAAUGUUGAUCAUCGAUGGUCUGUGAGAAUGUCCAAAUAUUAAUGGUCUGACCGUGUCAGGUACUUUCAGUUACAGGUGGUGAAGGGAAAAGGUGUAAGUUAGUUAUUAAAGGAGUGCAGAAGCAGAUGAUGUUGAAUUCAGUGCCGAAUUACGCGUUGGAGACUAUGGGUGAUGACAGUACUCUGAGGAAUGGUCUCAAUUUGCCGUGCAGGGACAUAGACAGCGUAGGGUCUAACGACGAUUAAUUUUCAGGAUGGAGAUCUGCUUAUGUGCUGGAAACCUCUGAGCAGAUCUCGCACCUAAGACCUCUCUCUCGACUGUGUGUAAAACACGAGGUGAAGAGAAGAAGACAUCGUUCCAGAAAUAAAUAACUUAGGGCAUGGACUCUGAUCUUUACUUUCAUGUUCACUCACUUAAUUUUAACCAGGUCAUUCACUGUCAAUGCUUGUGUAUGUUAUCCUGAUUGUUGUUCCUUUAAUGUGAUCACAUGGUUGUACUCAACACAUCAUUAUGGGGGUCUUAUUCAAGAGAUCUCAGUAUACUUUCAGUAUUCUACAACGCAAAGUGCCAACAUGAUCUGCAACAGCUUACAAUCAUGUGUACCAGGUUAUCAUUUCAUUAUCAUAAUUCAUUCACAUGGUAUAUUUUCACUAAUGUGUACUGUCAGGACCUUUCAUGCAACUGGGACACGAUGAAUGAUAGAUGGCAUCUGGCGGUGGCUGCUCAAAAAUUGAGAGUCGUGGAGGAAUUUUUCCCUAAUUCACACUGGGGUUUUUUUGCCUCCACUGCAUGAAGGGUCUCCAAUGACAGUCAACAGUUUUUAUAUGUUCACUUUAAUGAUGUUAUGCACUGUACACUGUUUAAAGGGUAUUUGAGGUCAGGCAGAGAAUGCCUGAAAGGGGGGUUAUGUGGGUGUUUUGACAAUUCCUGGAAGCUAACUUCAUCCUGCUUCCCAGAAAUGGACUCUGUGCAAAGGAUGUUGUGAAAUGUUUUGUAGGCGAAUGUCAAGAUGACCCUUGUGAGAGGAACCAGAUGCCAGAUUGAGCUCAGAUCCCGUCUCACUCCCCUUCUAUGGUCAGAGUCAGGGACGGAGUUAGAGUGCACCAAAUUGCGUCAGGUGGGUGGACGGCCGAGGAAAGGGUGGAACCUCUAUUCGAGUAGAUCUAAUAAAAGUGACAGCCACACCCAAAUCUGGGGCUUUUGCUGGGGCUUUUGGGGCUUUGUUGGGCACCUUUAGAUUCAGAGCCACUUGUUUCUCACUGAACUGGUCUGGGUCCUCUCAAUUGGGUCUAAUGACUGAGACACCUGAUCUGUAAGCUAAAGUAAAUUCUGUUCAUACUCAACACUUCAAUAAACCUGUGGAACCUUAUUUCUGGACUCGGCUUCUUUCGAGAGAAAGCACCCACAAAGUUUAUCUGAUCAGAUGAAUGAAGUUACAGACAGCAGGCACAUGCGUUACGUUUCAGACGAGUUUUCCAGUACUUAAAGCCCCUUCAAGGUACUAUCUAUAGAAGGCAGGUCUUAUAAGGACUUAACUGAUUUUACAUACUGUCCA